GAUGAACGCUGGCGGCGUGCCUAAUACAUGCAAGUCGAGCGAAGCGGGGACGGGUGAGUAACACGUGGAUAACCUCCUCUAUGCAUGGGCUAACUUCGGGAAACCGGAGCUAAACCGGAUACUUAUCGAUGGAUCCGCGCGGCAUUAGCUCGUUGGUAAGGUAACGGCUUACCAAGGCACCGAUGCAUAGCCGACCUGAGAGGUGGAUCGGCCACACUGGAACGGAGACACGGUCCAGACUCCUACGGGAGGCAGCAGUAGGGAAUCUUCCGCAAUGGGCGAAAGCCUGACGGAGCAACGCCGCGUGUGUGAUGAAGGUCUUCGGAUCGUAAAACUCUGUUAUUAGGGAAGCGGUACCUAAUCAGAAAGCCACGGCUAACUACGUGCCAGCCGCCGCGGUAAUAC
rnacentral:rRNA from 1 species